UAUUUUCUGUGCCCUAAAUGCAUAAAUUGUUAAAUGCUAUCUACAAUUAUGUGAGCUUGCUGAGCAUGUAAGUGCUCAUUCUUGCAUCUAUGUUUUAUCAACUAGCAGUAAAAAGCGAGUAUGGCACGAAUCAAGUUAACCGCUCGGAAGCGGGUGCGAGCUCGGAUAAGGGAAAGGCACAUCACUCCAGCUGAAGCUGCCAGACAACGAAGAAUAGUAGGAACUCGAGCUGUAGUUGUUCUCUUUUGGUUUCAACCCUUUUCAUAUGUAAUCAUAUUAGUAGUUUGGAUGUAAUAUAGACGAUCGACCCUGGACUUGUGGGGCGAGAGUCGGAUAUUGUAUAAUAUUAAUAUCUAUGCAAGUGUUGUUUUGAUGUCAAAUGCUAGUGAUGAGCCAGAUCUGCGGGAAGCGGAUUUGGGGUCGUCACA
rnacentral:lncRNA from 1 species